CCCCGAACGAGCGAGGCCUUUUUUCUUCUCUCCCUGCUUUUAUCUCUCGCCUGCCUGAGCUACAGGGGAAACUCCGUGGAAAUCUUGCUGGCACCGACACAGGUCGGACCGGAGCCCGCCAGGCAGCACCGGUCCGGAAGCGCGGCGCGCGGCUUCGGGCAAAGGGGGACGCCGCCCCCCAGCUCCCCGCGGCACAAAAAAGUAAAUAAAAACCACUAAAGAGUCUA